ensembl:lncRNA
CUUGUAUAACAGUGUAAAUUUGCGGUCCCCUCAACAUAACUCAACACACAGCCAUUAAUGUCUGAACCGCUGGCAACAAAAUCUGGAAGGAUGCCUCCACUGGAAAGGAAACCCCUUGAUGAGAUCUAUGAUUCCACAGACUCUGAGGACAUCCCUUUCAACUCCUCCCCUGACUCUGACACUUUGACCCCAAGCUUGCCUGCCCCCUGUGCUUCUGCAAUGGUGACCACCUCGUUACGACCUUUGCCUGCCCCCGACUUCGAAACAGCCAAAUCCUCUGUACCUCUAGGAUCUCCUCUCUGCCUCUGUGUCCGCGCUUGGUUCAACAUCCCAGCCAUGUUAGAACGAUCUGGCCAAGACGGACCCAGCGGACAUGGAACGUAUGCAAAACGCCAUAGUCUUGCAAGGGACUCCCGUGGGACGGCAUCGAAGAAGCCUUAUGCUCCAUCAUGGAUGAACUCGCUAGACAGAAGGAAGCCCAGCGGCUAGCCACCAAGGCCAUCACCGAGCAGUUAGGGCGGUUGACCCGGACCCUACCACGCCAGGAGUCCCCACCUCCUUCACCAGCUAGUGUCACCUGCUUCCGCUACGCCUCCCUAAGAACCCUGACUACCGCCACCAGAACGGUUCUCGGGCAAGGCCAAGAC